rnacentral:lncRNA from 1 species
GGCUUGACUAUGCUGAGGUUGAGGUUCAAGUGAUGGGCCCUCUAGAAUUUCAACUAAAUAUUAAGGCGUGUAAAACAUGUGGAUGGAAAUUAAGGAAGUUAAAUUGAUUUAAACCUUUUUUGUUGGAUUACUUAUGGCUAAGCUGAUGGAUAUUGCAACUCUGAUUUCUUUACAAUCAUGUUGGAUUAUUUGAUGGCUAGGCUCAUGGAUAUUGCAACUCUGAUUCCGUCAAUCACAGAUUAAUGUUUUGGAUUUUUUUUUGUAACAUUUGUGAAGCUCUGUAAUCUCGCUGUAAAAUGCUCUUUAUGCAUUUCUACAAUUCAAAUCAUCCAACAUGAUUGACGCAAUGUAUUCUAUACAGCAAAUCAUUAAUCGGAUACUAAACAGAAGGGUAAAACUGUAAUCAAAAGGGAUAGUAGUUGGUUUUGAAUGGUUUUAAACACUUUCAAUGUAUUCUAUGGAGAUUGGAUUUUUUUUUUUUUUUAAAAUGACACCCUUCUGUUCAGUAUCCGAUUAACAGUAUGCAUUCUAGUAUUUCUAGCCAAGUUCAUAGAUUGUACGUGACUACAUAGGGAAGGCUCUUCUGCAUAGUAGGAGAUCCUACUCUUUAGAGCAAACUCGAGAAGGGGCCGAGCUUUGGGCCAUUUUUUUGGACUAUUGACAGUGUACACACAGUCCUUGAGAUUUGAGAACAUCAUCUUGGAAUGAUAUUUCCUCUUGGCUCGAGAAUGUUUGCAACGUCAGUUGUACGUCAGAUACAGCUUUUGGGGGUCUCCGCGCCUUUUGGAGCUUCCACGUCUUUCAAAUGCCACUAUUACAAAGCUACAACAAAUGCUACCUACCAGAAAUUCUGGUGCAUAGAAGAUCAGAGAGAGUCUAACCACUUAUCAUUGUUACCAAUCCUAUAUCGCAAAGAAUUUGACCAAAGUGGCUCCAUGAGACUAAUUGAUAAGAUCAUAACAAGAGUCAUGGCAUUGUGUGUCGUCCAUUACAGUUAUUUAGUUAUUUUUUUGUGUAUUUAAGUAACUAUUGUUUUAUUGAAUGGAGAUGAAAAGAAAAUUGCAGUAAACUUGUGUUCUUGUUAUCGGUCUUUGGAAUACAUUACUAAAACCAUUUCCAUUCAUACUCCAUAAUUUACUCUAAAACUAAAAUGGAAAAUGGAAUAUAAACAAAAAAUAAAAGAUAACUCUAUAAAUAGAGUGAUUUUUUUUCCACUCUAUUUUUGGUGUAAAUUAUGGAAUGAAGAUUGAAAUACCCUAAUGCAUAAGAAACAUAGUUAACUCCACUAUGCUGCUCUUAGGAACCACAUCACUAAAGGUUAUCACCUCAUCGUGGUUUCCUCGUUUGAAGUUAUAUUGUUGUUUCAUACUAACUAGAGUUUGACAUCUCUUUAUAUAUUAUUAUUUUUGUCUAAUUUUUCAAUGUGAAACUUAGUUUGACAUCUCACAUUUUUUGCCUGCUGAGUUCUGUUUUUUUUCUUCUUUUAUGUUCCUAUUGUUAAGGUUUUUGAAUGUUGGUUCAACUUUUGGUACAGUUGCCUGAUUUAGGUUUAAUGAUUUUUUUUAACACUAAAGAACCUUUUUCAUUCAUCUUUUAAAUAUGAACCCCAAUACAAUCCAAAUCAGAGGGAAUUUUCCCCAAUCAAAUUCGAACCAAAAAGGGGCAGAGCUUGUGGAAACCUUAAACAAAAAAGGAUGACAGCCAUAAAAGAUAACCACAAGCAACAUAUGAUUGGGGCAAAUUCUCAAAGACCACACUCUUAGCAAUCAAGUAAGCAGGUAAAUUUUCCUUACGAGUGUUCAACUCCAACUUCCAAAAACCCACCGAAUUUUGUGACCCGUUGAUCUUCUGGGAGAUCCAUUUGAAUGAGGGCCAAGCAGGAGGCCACAAGACUGCACCCAACAGGUCCGCAGCUUCCACCAUGAAUACAAUUAUGUUCUUCCUUAAGCUACACAUGCUUUCAAUUGCCCAUAACCAACCAACAGCGUUAGCAUCAUCUGCAGAAAGCACAUUAGCAAAGGAAGAUCGACUAUGCAACAGCACCACUCCAUUUCAUUCCCUUAGGACCCAAGCAACACCAGCUAUAAAUGAGUGUCUGCACCAAAAAAUUCCAACAUCACACUUAAGCCAGUUCUCCAAAGGCGGCUCCCAAGGGGGCUUUGCAUUCAUCGUGGGAGCAAGACUAGACUCCUCGCAUGGAGCUACAUCGGCCUGAGCCUGAGACCAUUCUCUCCAGUCCUCAAGCGCUUUGUUCACAAUCUCAAUGGCUUCAUAGAUCUUUCCUUCGAAAAUAAAGUCAUUCCUAUUUUUCCAUAGCCUCCAAAUCAACCAAGGAAAUGCUUUAUACAACUCAUCCUCUCCCCUCUUGCUUUCUCCAAUCGUCAGGAGAUGAUUGAUGUUGUGGAAGAUAGAUUCCGGGUGAAAGCCACCACGCUGGAGAGGAAAAUUUGCUUCUGCCCAGACUCGUCUAGCCAAAGGACAAGAGAAGAAGAUAUGGUUUGCUGUCUCCGGUUCAUGUCCACAUAAUUGGCACCUCUCAUCAACUUUCAUACCUCUUCUAGCUAUGCCUUCUGCCACCGGUAAGGCAUUUGAUAGACACUCCCAUAGGAAAACUCUCAGUUUCGAGGGGAUUUUGAGAAACCAACACUUCUCCUUAAGAGGGUUCAAAGAAGGAAGGGUUUCUGCUUCUAUUCUAAUCUUCGAUUUGAGAGUAGACGAUCCAAGCCAGUACCCUGAUUUCGUUGAGUAGGCACCUGACUUAUUGAACUUCCAGACCUUGAAGUCCUCUGAUUUUUGCGCAAUCUUCAUUUUUAAUAUCAGAGCGACAUCGUCAGGGUAGAACAUGUCAUCUAGUAUCAUCUUAUCCCACUCUCCAGUCUGUUGAUUCAACAAAGACGACACCCUCAAAUCAAUAUCAAUCACUUGAUUCUUCAUUAGCAGAGCUCUAAAUCGAUUCCCAUCAUCUAUCCACGUUGAAGCCCAGACCAAGGUUUUCCGGCCAUCUCCAAUCAUCUUCUUGAGACCCUUAUCCAGAAGCUCCUUACCAUAGAGUAUGCUUCUCCACCCAAAGGAUGGCAUUUUCCCUAUUUUAGCAUCUUCAAAUUCUGAGUCAUUGUAGUAUCUGCUUCUCAGAAAUCUUGCAAGGAGACAGUCAGGGUCGUUCGUGAGCCUCCAGGCCUGUUUGGCCAAUAGUGCCUGAUUGAAAAGAUGAAUGUCCUUGAAACCUAUUCCCCCCAACCGCUUUGGCAAGCACAUCUGCUCCCAACUCACCCAAUGUAUCUUCUUUUUCUCCUCCACCGAGCUCCACCAAAAAGAAGACAUUGCACUGAUCAGGUUAUCACAAGUAGUCUUGGGCAAUUUGAAACAGCUCAUUGCAUAAACCGGCAUACCCAUCGCCGCCGACUUAAGUAGAACCUCUUUGCCACCCUGAGACAGAGUCCUCGAAAACCAGCUUGAAAAUCUCACUUUUAUUUUCUCCUUGACAAAGUUCAACAUGUCCACUUUGGAGCCACUGAAGCACUCAGGUAAGCUAAGGUAGGAGCUGGUGCCUCUGACGUUUGUGAUGCCCAAUCUAGAAUGGAUUUGUUUCUUUAAGUCCUCGUCCACAUUUUCUCUAAAGGUGAUUGAAGAUUUAUCCAAGUUAACCAUCUGACCCGUAAGAUCUCCAUAUCUUUUGAGGAUGUCUUGCAUUUGGUUGAACUAUUCGAUUGAGGCCUCCACCAUGAACAGACUGUCAUCUGCAAAGAGUAAAUGGUGGAUGGCUGGUCCUGAAUUUUAUCUGUUUGAAUUUUAUUUUGCGUUUUGUUUAUGUUGUAGUUUUUUUUUUUGAGAUUGUAAUCUGUUUCUUAUUAUAUUCUUGAUUAUGUUUUGACUGAAUUUAUCAAGCUACUUCUAUUUGUAAUAUCUAUUGCGAGUAUUGUUCCUCAGAAUCCACGCAGUUCUAUUCUGAGAUUAGAAUUAUUCCAACAUCUUAUAUUACAUCCAUAAUAGAUGAACUCUCAAACUCUGAUUGCAAUCAUAAUAAGAUUGUGCACUAACCCCUACUUUUAACUGCAUUUAGAGGUAAGUCUUAAACAUCAGCAAUCUUAUCAGUCAGUUAAAAGUAAAGUUUGGCUCUAAUUGCAGCGCACCAAACCUUACUUUUUAAAGACGAUUGCCUCUGACUUCUAAAGCGGCCACAAGAUCCAAGGACUGGCUUGACUAUGCUGAGGUUGAGGUUCAAGUGAUGGGCCCUCUAGAAUUUCAACUAAAUAUUAAGGCGUGUAAAACAUGUGGAUGGAAAUUAAGGAAGUUAAAUUGAUUUAAACCUUUUUUGUUGGAUUACUUAUGGCUAAGCUGAUGGAUAUUGCAACUCUGAUUUCUUUACAAUCAUGUUGGAUUAUUUGAUGGCUAGGCUCAUGGAUAUUGCAACUCUGAUUCCGUCAAUCAC